GAUGAACGCUGGCGGCGUGCCUAAUACAUGCAAGUCGAGCGAACAGACGAGGAGCUUGCUCCUCUGACGUUAGCGGCGGACGGGUUAGUAACACGUGGAUAACCUACCUAUAAGACUGGGAUAAAUUCGGGAAACCGGAGCGAAUACCGGAUAAUAUAUUGAACCGCAGGGUUCAAUAGUGAAAGACGGCUGUGCUGUCACUUAUAGAUGGAUCCGCGCCGCAUUAGCUAGUUGGUAAGGUAACGGCUUACCAAGGCAACGAUGCGUAGCCGACCUGAGAGGGUGAUCGGCCACACUGGAACUGAGACACGGUCCAGACUCCUACGGGAGGCAGCAGUAGGGAAUCUUCCGCAAUGGGCGAAAGCUUGACGGAGCAACGCCGCGUGAAGGAUGAAGGUCUUCGGAUCGUAAACCUCUGUUAUUAGGGAAGAACAAAUUUGUACGUAACUAUGCACGUCUUGACGGUACCUAAUCAGAAAGCCACGGCUAACUACGUG
rnacentral:rRNA from 1 species